UACAGAGGGUGCAAGCGUUGUUCGGAAUUAUUGGGCGUAAAGGGCGCGUAGGCGGUGCGGUAAGUCUGUAGUGAAAUCUCUGGGCUCAACUCAGAGUCUGCUGCAGAAACUGCCGUGCUUGAGUGUGGGAGAGGUGAGUGGAAUUCCCGGUGUAGCGGUGAAAUGCGUAGAUAUUGGGAAGAACACCGGUGGCGAAGGCGGCUCACUGGCUCGUAACUGACGCUCAUGCACGACAGCGUGGGGAUCAAACAGG
rnacentral:rRNA from 1 species